rnacentral:rRNA from 1 species
GACGAACGCUGGCGGCGUGCUUAACACAUGCAAGUCGAGCGGAAAGGCCCUUCGGGGUACUCGAGCGGGCGAACGGGUGAGUAACACGUGAGCAACCUGCCCUGGACUUUGGGAUAACCCUCGGAAACGGGGGCUAAUACCGAAUACGACAACUCACUGCAUGGUGUGGUUGUGGAAAGAUUUUUUGGUCUGGGAUGGGCUCGCGGCCUAUCAGCUUGUUGGUGGGGUGAUGGCCUACCAA